AUCUCGCAAGGGAAUCGUGAACGCAAAGGAAAGAAAAUAGUUUCGGAUUAAGCAAUCGAGGGUCCAAGAGGGCUUAACGUUGAUGAUGAUUUCAUUCCCAUAGCUACACAAUACCGAAAGGAGAUGGAAGCGGAGAUAAAGGAAGAUGAUGCAGGGGACAAGGUUCGAGAAGAUGUACUUCUGGAGAACAUCAAAGGAAUACGUAGACACGAUUACAAAGCUAAAUCCCCCGACAGAUUGAAGUUGUCCAUGAGCUCGGGUUUGUAGGUAGAUACCUAGAGAAAUGGCCCAUUGGAUACUUUCUGUGUUCAACAGGGAGCGGUGCACGAUCCAGUUUUCAUAAGAGGAAUUUGUUCAUGACACAAUAAUGUAAAUCGAAUGACGGACUACUACAAAUCUAUAGUACAGAUAAUGGGAAUCACUCAAAUUAAGACAACAA